rnacentral:snoRNA from 1 species
GGUGGUGAUGACCCCCGGUGAUUCUGAGUGUCUUUGCUGAUGCCAUCACGCAGCACUCUGACA